GCUUUUGUGCAUUGGCAGUAUCAUAGUCAAGGAGGUUUAUCUGAGGCAUGAUUAUUGCUAAUUGAAACCUAACAUUCCCUUUCUCACAAUUAUAAAUGAAAAGAGACCAUGAACUAGAAAUACUAAAAUACAAUUGUAAGCAAUCAGAAUUCUAUCAUUAAA
ensembl:snRNA U4 U4 spliceosomal RNA